CAGAGGGUGCGAGCGUUGCCCGGAAUCACUGGGCGUAAAGGGCGCGUAGGCGGCCCGAUAAGUAGGGGGUGAAAUCUUGCGGCUCAACCGCAAGGCUGCCUUCUAAACUGUCGGGCUGGAGCACGGUAGAGGCAGAUGGGAUUCCCGGUGUAGCGGUGGAAUGCGUAGAGAUCGGGAAGAACACCAGUGGCGAAGGCGGUCUGCUGGGCCGUUGCUGACGCUGAGGCGCGACAGCGUGGGGAGCAAACAGGAUUAGAUACCCUGGUAGUCCACGCCGUAAACGAUGGGCACUAGGCGUCGGGGGGAGCGACCCUCCCGGUGCCGUCGCUAACGCAGUAAGUGCCCCGCCUGGGGAGUACGGCCGCAAGGCUG
rnacentral:rRNA from 1 species